rfam:Loxodonta africana unplaced genomic scaffold scaffold_6, whole genome shotgun sequence.
GGCUCUGUGGCGCAAUGGAUAGCGCAUUGGACUUCUAGCUGAGCCUGGAGUGGCGAUUCAAAGGUUGUGGGUUCGAGUCCCACCAGAGUCG